GACGAACGCUGGCGGCGUGCUUAACACAUGCAAGUCGAACGGAAAGGCCCUGCUUGCAGGGUACUCGAGUGGCGAACGGGUGAGUAACACGUAGGUGAUCUGCCCUGCACUUCGGGAUAAGCCUGGGAAACUGGGUCUAAUACCGGAUAGGAGCCAUUUUUAGUGUGAUGGUUGGAAAGUUUUUUCGGUGUAGGAUGAGCUCGCGGCCUAUCAGCUUGUUGGUGGGGUAAUGGCCUACCAAGGCGGCGACGGGUAGCCGGCCUGAGAGGGUGGACGGCCACAUUGGGACUGAGAUACGGCCCAGACUCCUACGGGAGGCAGCAGUGGGGAAUAUUGCACAAUGGGCGCAAGCCUGAUGCAGCGACGCCGCGUGGGGGAUGACGGCCUUCGGGUUGUAAACUCCUUUCGCUAGGGACGAAGCUUUUUGUGACGGUACCUAGAUAAGAAGCACCGGCUAACUACGUG
rnacentral:rRNA from 1 species